GGAGCCGUGCCUGAAUGCCCAAGGACCACUUUGAUAGAGUGACAAAUGAAGGUUAAAGCCCUUCCUGCUCCU
rnacentral:tRNA from 1 species